rnacentral:lncRNA from 1 species
GGCCAGGUGGGGGGGUGCUAGCCCGAUCGACGGGACCAGAAAGCUCCAGAUCGUACUCUGGAGGAACUCCAUACUGAACCCUUAUCAAUAGAAGUUCAUCCAGAGUCAGAGAACAGGGAAUGGCACCCGGUGCAAAAAUUGGGCGAGGCCCAGCCCUAGAUGUGGGUUCAUCUACAGUGUGGGGGUUCUGGGGGCCUGAGACGGACGAACUCCUGGAACCACUAGAGGCAGAGGUACCGGAAGAUAUUUCAAACAAAGGCCCUAAAAAGUUUGGAGAAAUCAGGUAGGACAAGAGGCAAAAGGUUUGUGGGGGACCAAACCAGAGGAAUGCGGUAGAAGAAAAAUGGAGGAGAAAGGGCACCUAGAUGGCAAGAAGAGAAAUGAAAGUUCCGGGACUAACCUAG